rnacentral:rRNA from 1 species
GACGAACGCUGGCGGCGUGCUUAACACAUGCAAGUCGAACGGAAAGGCCCUGCUUUUGUGGGGUGCUCGAGUGGCGAACGGGUGAGUAACACGUGAGUAACCUGCCCUUGACUUUGGGAUAACUUCAGGAAACUGGGGCUAAUACCGGAUAGGAGCUCCUGCUGCAUGGUGGGGGUUGGAAAGUUUCGGCGGUUGGGGAUGGACUCGCGGCUUAUCAGCUUGUUGGUGGGGUAGUGGCUUACCAAGGCUUUGACGGGUAGCCGGCCUGAGAGGGUGACCGGCCACAUUGGGACUGAGAUACGGCCCAGACUCCUACGGGAGGCAGCAGUGGGGAAUAUUGCACAAUGGGCGGAAGCCUGAUGCAGCAACGCCGCGUGCGGGAUGACGGCCUUUGGGUUGUAAACCGCUUUCGCCUGUGACGAAGCGUGAGUGACGGUAAUGGGUAAAGAAGCACCGGCCAACUACGUG